rnacentral:rRNA from 1 species
AUUGAACGCUGGCGGCAUGCCUUACACAUGCAAGUCGAACGGUAACAGGUCUUCGGAUGCUGACGAGUGGCGAACGGGUGAGUAAUACAUCGGAACGUGCCCAGUCGUGGGGGAUAACGCAGCGAAAGCUGUGCUAAUACCGCAUACGAUCUAAGGAUGAAAGCGGGGGAUCGCAAGACCUCGCGCGAUUGGAGCGGCCGAUAUCAGAUUAGCUAGUUGGUGGGGGAAAGGCCCACCAAGGCGACGAUCUGUAGCUGGUCUGAGAGGGCGAACGGCCAGAUUUGAACUGAUACGCGGUCCAUACUCCUACGGGAGGCAGCAGUUGGGAAUUUUGUACAAUGGGCGCAAGCCUGAUCCAGCAAUGCCGCGUGCUGGAUGAAGGCCUUCGGGUUGUAGACUGCUUUUGUCCGUAACGAAACGGCCCCUUCGAAUACAUGGGGCUAAUGACGUUACCGUAAGAAUAAGCACCGGCUAACUACGUGCCAGCCGCCGCCGUAAGAC